rnacentral:rRNA from 1 species
UACAGAGGGGGCAAGCGUUAUUCGGAAUUAUUGGGCGUAAAGGGCGCGUAGGCGGCUUUGCAAGUGACGGGUGAAAUCCCUCGGCUUAACCGAGGAACUGCCUGUCAGACUGCAUGGCUUGAGACCAGGAGAGGUGAGUGGAAUUCCCAGUGUAGCGGUGAAAUGCGUAGAUAUUGGGAGGAACACCGAUGGCGAAGGCAGGUCUCUGGGCAUUAACUGACGCUGAGGAGCGAAAGCAUGGGGAGCGAACAGG